rnacentral:rRNA from 1 species
GAUGAACGCUGGCGGCGUGCCUAAUACAUGCAAGUCGAGCGAACAGACGAGGAGCUUGCUCCUCUGACGUUAGCGGCGGACGGGUGAGUAACACGUGGAUAACCUACCUAUAAGACUGGGAUAACUUCGGGAAACCGGAGCUAAUACGGGAUAACAUGUUGAACCGCAUGGUUCAACAGUGAAAGACGGUCUUGCUGUCACUUAUAGAUGGAUCCGCGCCGCAUUAGCUAGUUGGUAAGGUAACGGCUUACCAAGGCAACGAUGCGUAGCCGACCUGAGAGGGUGAUCGGCCACACUGGAACUGAGACACGGUCAAGACUCCUACGGGAGGCAGCAGUAGGGAAUCUUCCGCAAUGGGCGAAAGCCUGACGGAGCAACGCCGAGUGAGUGAAGAAGGUCUUCGGUUCGUAAAACUCUGUUAUUAGGGAAGAACAAAUGUGUAAGUAAAUAUGCACGUCUUGACGGUACCUAAUCAGAAAGCCACGGCUAACUACGUG